ACGUAGGCAGCGAGCGUUGUUCGGAAUUACUGGGCGUAAAGGGUGUGUAGGCGGUUCUCUAAGUUUGGUGUGAAAUCUCCCGGCUUAACCGGGAGGGUGCGCCGAAAACUGGGGGACUAGAGUGCGGGAAGGGAGAGUGGAAUUCCUGGUGUAGCGGUGAAAUGCGUAGAUAUCAGGAGGAACACCUGUGGUGUAGACAGCUUACUGGACCAUGACUGACGCUGAGGCACGAAAGCGUGGGGAGCAAACAGGA
rnacentral:rRNA from 1 species